UUUUCUCACCUGUAAAACAGGGCUAAUGAUCAUGCCUUGGUCUUCAUGUCUGCAGCGGCAGCCACCCACGAGUCCAAAGAUGAUUCUUAAUUGCACCUGAAAGCAGCGACCUGGAGGUUAGCGCUCCCAGUGUGUAUGUACCUGCCGCUUAAAGUGCCGCUUUCAAAGGAACUGUUUGCUGGAAGCAAAUACCUUUGUCCCUCCCACUCCCUUAUGCAAGCAAGAGAAUGCUGCACCCAGAAUGUCUUGUUACAUAGCAACCUUACCCC